UACGUAGGGUGCAAGCGUUGUCCGGAAUUAUUGGGCGUAAAGGGCUCGUAGGCGGUCCAUCACGUCGGGAGUGAAAACCCGGGGCUCAACCCCGGGCCUGCAGUCGAUACGGGCAGACUAGAGUGCGGUAGGGGAGACUGGAAUUCCUGGUGUAGCGGUGAAAUGCGCAGAUAUCAGGAGGAACACCGGUGGCGAAGGCGGGUCUCUGGGCCGUAACUGACGCUGAGGAGCGAAAGCGUGGGGAGCGAACAGG
rnacentral:rRNA from 1 species